UGGCAUCAUCAAGAUUCACAACCCAUGGAUCCAAAUAAACCACUGAUUUGGAUCGAGGAGAUGCAUGAGAAUCUUGAUGAUGCUGCAU
rnacentral:pre_miRNA from 1 species